rnacentral:rRNA from 1 species
UUCCAGACUCCUACGGGAGGCAGCAGUGAGGAAUAUUGGUCAAUGGGCUUACGCCUGAACCAGCCAAGUCGCGUGAAGGAUGACGGCCCUACGGGUUGUAAACUUCUUUUGUCAGGGAGCAAUUGGGUCCACGCGUGGGCUUAGCGAGAGUACCUGAAGAAAAAGCAUCGGCUAACUCCGUGCCAGCAGCCGCGGUAAUACGGAGGAUGCGAGCGUUAUCCGGAUUUAUUGGGUUUAAAGGGUGCGUAGGCGGACGCUUAAGUCAGCGGUAAAAUUGCGGGGCUCAACCUCGUCGAGCCGUUGAAACUGGGUGCCUUGAGUGGGCGAGAAGUAUGCGGAAUGCGUGGUGUAGCGGUGAAAUGCAUAGAUAUCACGCAGAACUCCGAUUGCGAAGGCAGCAUACCGGCGCCCAACUGACGCUGAAGCACGAAAGCGUGGGUAUCGAACAGGAUUAGAUACCCCGGUA